GACAGAGGGUGCAAACGUUGUCCGGAAUCAUUGGGCGUAAAGCGCGCGUAGGCGGCCCGAUAAGUCCGCUGUAAAAGUCCAGGGCUCAACCCUGGAAAGCCGGUGGAUACUGUCGGGCUCGAGUCCGGAAGAGGCGAGUGGAAUUCCUGGUGUAGCGGUGGAAUGCGCAGAUAUCUGGAGGAACACCGGUGGCGAAGGCGGCAUCCUGGACCAAUUCUGACGCUGAGGAGCGAAAGCCAGGGGAGCAAACGGG
rnacentral:rRNA from 1 species